rnacentral:rRNA from 1 species
UACGGAGGGUGCGAGCGUUGUUCGGAAUCACUGGGCGUAAAGCGCGUGUAGGCGGCUUCUUAAGUCUGGUGUGAAAGCCCGGGGCUUACCCCCGGAAGGGCACUGGAAACUGGGGAGCUGGAGUACCGGAGAGGAGGGUGGAAUUCCUGGUGUAGCGGUGAAAUGCGUAGAUAUCAGGAGGAACACCGGUGGCGAAGGCGGCCCUCUGGACGGAUACUGACGCUGAGGAGCGAAAGCGUGGGGAGCGAACAGG